rnacentral:rRNA from 1 species
UACGUAGGGCGCAAGCGUUGUCCGGAAUCAUUGGGCGUAAAGAGCUCGUAGGCGGUCUGUCGCGUCGGCUGUGAAAACCCGGAGCUCAACUCCGGGCCUGCAGUCGAUACGGGCAGACUGGAGUUCGGCAGGGGAGACUGGAAUUCCUGGUGUAGCGGUGAAAUGCGCAGAUAUCAGGAGGAACACCGGUGGCGAAGGCGGGUCUCUGGGCAGUAACUGACGCUGAGGAGCGAAAGCGUGGGGAGCGAACAGG